AAAGGAUGAAGUUUAUUCACAGGAUGAAGACGUUCGUAUUUAUUUGAAUUACUUAUUUUGAUUAGCUGUAGCCGGACCUCCGGAAGGGAAACACGUCGCCAUAAACGUUAACCGGAAUAAUGUUCAGUAAAUACCGGAAAGAAGCGGAGAAGAAAUUGAGCGAGGUCCCACCAUCAGACGGAAACUGUGAUGGUCGAAGACAGGGAUUGACUCAACUCUAUCAAGAAGAUAUCAAGUAGAUGGCGCUUCGACUUUUUUCGAAAGAGAUACUACACAACUGGGCAGUGACUGGAUCAACGAAAUAUCGAUAACAGAUGCAGAGAGAGAUGAGUUUGAGAAAAUUAUGGAACAAUGCGGUUACAACGCACUUAUUCAGAAACUAGAAGCAUGGAACUGGAAACAACCGACUAUUAACAUAGCCGUAGCAGGUUCAGCUGGAACAGGUAAAUCGACGUUGAUCAAUUCCUUAAGAGGUCUGAAAGCGGAUGAUAAAGGUGCCGCUUUGACUGGAUGUACGGAAACAACAACCGAGGUUACGUGCUAUCCCCAUCCAGAAAAUCCAAACCUAAAACUAUGGGAUCUACCUGGUGUUGGAACGCUUAAUUUCCCGCGAGACACCUAUUUUGAAACUGUCGAUUUUAAGAAGUACGAUUUCCUGCUCCUUGUUUCAAGUUCACGUUUUUCGGAAACCGACUUGUGUUUAUUGAAUAUAAGGAGAUUUAAAGCGUGUUGCCACAACGAUACUGAUACAUGUAUAUAACUUUGAUGUGACACAUUUUGGAAGACCUACUUAUAAACCAGUUCUGUAGUUGGUGAAAGUGCACUUGUAGUGGAUAGAAAGAGUUGU